CCUACGCGAGGCAGCAGUAGGGAAUCUUCCACAAUGGGCGAAAGCCUGAUGGAGCAACGCCGCGUGGGUGAAGAAGGUCUUCGGAUCGUAAAACCCUGUUGUUAGAGAAGAAAGUGCGUGAGAGUAACUGGUCACGUUUCGCAGGUAUCUAACCAGAAAGCGACGGCUACCAACGUGCCAGCAGCCGCGGUAAUACGUAGGUGGCAAGCGUUAUCCGGAUUUAUUGGGCGUAAAGGGAACGCAGGCGGUCUUUUAAGUUUGAUGUGAACGCCUUCGGCUUAACCGGGGUAGUGCAUUGGAAUGUGGGAGACUUGAGUGCAGAAGAGGAGAGUGGAACUCCAUGUGUAGCGGUGAAAUGCGUAGAUAUAUGGAAGAACACCAGUGGCGAAAGCGUCUCUCUGGUCUGUAACUGACGCUGAGGUUCGAAAGCGUGGGUAGCAAACAGGAUUAGAUACCCGGGUAGUC
rnacentral:rRNA from 1 species